AACGUAGGUUCCGAGCGUUAUCCGGAUUUACUGGGCGUAAAGCGCGUUCAGGCGGUUUGGCAAGUCGGGCAUGAAAUCUCUCGGCUCAACCGGGAGAGGUUGUCCGAUACUGCUGGACUUGAGGGCAGUAGAGGGUGGUGGAAUUCCAGGUGUAGCGGUGAAAUGCGUAGAUAUCUGGAGGAACACCGGUGGCGAAGGCGGCAUCCUGGACCGGUAUUGACACUGAGGCGCGAAAGCCAGGGGAGCAAACGGG
rnacentral:rRNA from 1 species